rnacentral:rRNA from 1 species
GGUUAAGCGACUAAGCGUACACGGUGGAUGCCCUGGCAGUCAGAGGCGAUGAAGGGCGUGCUAAUCUGCGAUAAGCGCCGGUAAGGUGAUAUGAACCGUUAUAACCGGCGAUACCCGAAUGGGGAAACCCAGUGUGAUUCGUCACACUAUCAUUAACUGAAUCCAUAGGUUAAUGAGGCGAACCGGGGGAACUGAAACAUCUAAGUACCCCGAGGAAAAGAAAUCAACCGAGAUUCCCCCAGUAGCGGCGAGCGAACGGGGAGGAGCCCAGAGCCUGAAUCAGCAUGUGUGUUAGUGGAAGCGUCUGGAAAGGUGCGCGAUACAGGGUGACAGCCCCGUACACAAAAGCGCAUGUGCUGUGAGCUCGAUGAGUAGGGCGGGACACGUGGUAUCCUGUCUGAAUAUGGGGGGACCAUCCUCCAAGGCUAAAUACUCCUGACUGACCGAUAGUGAACCAGUACCGUGAGGGAAAGGCGAAAAGAACCCCGGCGAGGGGAGUGAAAAAGAACCUGAAACCGUGUACGUACAAGCAGUGGGAGCACAGGUUUACCUGUGUGACUGCGUACCUUUUGUAUAAUGGGUCAGCGACUUAUAUUCUGUAGCAAGGUUAACCGUAUAGGGGAGCCGGAGGGAAACCGAGUCUUAAUUGGGCGUUAAGUUGCAGGGUAUAGACCCGAAACCCGGUGAUCUAGCCAUGGGCAGGUUGAAGGUUGGGUAACACUAACUGGAGGACCGAACCGACUAAUGUUGAAAAAUUAGCGGAUGACCUGUGGCUGGGGGUGAAAGGCCAAUCAAACCGGGAGAUAGCUGGUUCUCCCCGAAAGCUAUUUAGGUAGCGCCUCGUGAAUUCAUCUCCGGGGGUAGAGCACUGUUUCGGCUAGGGGGCCAUCCCGGCUUACCAACCCGAUGCAAACUGCGAAUACCGGAGAAUGUUAUCACGGGAGACACACGGCGGGUGCUAACGUCCGUCGUGAAGAGGGAAACAACCCAGACCGCCAGCUAAGGUCCCAAAGUCAUGGUUAAGUGGGAAACGAUGUGGGAAGGCCCAGACAGCCAGGAUGUUGGCUUAGAAGCAGCCAUCAUUUAAAGAAAGCGUAAUAGCUCACUGGUCGAGUCGGCCUGCGCGGAAGAUGUAACGGGGCUAAACCAUGCACCGAAGCUGCGGCAGCGAACGUAUCACUUAAAGCGAUUCAGCGGGUUACGAUUGACGGAGCGAAGCGACGUCAAAGCGUAUACAAAGUCGAGUCGGUUUAAGGAUACGUUCGUUGGGUAGGGGAGCGUUCUGUAAGCCCGUGAAGGUGGCCUGUGAGGGUUGCUGGAGGUAUCAGAAGUGCGAAUGCUGACAUAAGUAACGAUAAAGCGGGUGAAAAGCCCGCUCGCCGGAAGACCAAGGGUUCCUGUCCAACGUUAAUCGGGGCAGGGUGAGUCGACCCCUAAGGCGAGGCCGAAAGGCGUAGUCGAUGGGAAACGGGUUAAUAUUCCCGUACUUGGUGUUACUGCGAAGGGGGGACGGAGAAGGCUAUGUUGGCCGGGCGACGGUUGUCCCGGUUUAAGCGUGUAGGUGUGUGUUCCAGGUAAAUCCGGUUCACUUUAACACUGAGGCGUGACGACGAGGCACUACGGUGCUGAAGCAACAAAUGCCCUGCUUCCAGGAAAAGCCUCUAAGCAUCAGGUAACACGAAAUCGUACCCCAAACCGACACAGGUGGUCAGGUAGAGAAUACCAAGGCGCUUGAGAGAACUCGGGUGAAGGAACUAGGCAAAAUGGUGCCGUAACUUCGGGAGAAGGCACGCUGACACGUAGGUGAAGUGAUUUACUCAUGGAGCUGAAGUCAGUCGAAGAUACCAGCUGGCUGCAACUGUUUAUUAAAAACACAGCACUGUGCAAACACGAAAGUGGACGUAUACGGUGUGACGCCUGCCCGGUGCCGGAAGGUUAAUUGAUGGGGUCAGCGCAAGCGAAGCUCCUGAUCGAAGCCCCGGUAAACGGCGGCCGUAACUAUAACGGUCCUAAGGUAGCGAAAUUCCUUGUCGGGUAAGUUCCGACCUGCACGAAUGGCGUAAUGAUGGCCAGGCUGUCUCCACCCGAGACUCAGUGAAAUUGAACUCGCUGUGAAGAUGCAGUGUACCCGCGGCAAGACGGAAAGACCCCGUGAACCUUUACUAUAGCUUGACACUGAACAUUGAGCCUUGAUGUGUAGGAUAGGUGGGAGGCUUUGAAGUGUGGACGCCAGUCUGCAUGGAGCCGACCUUGAAAUACCACCCUUUAAUGUUUGAUGUUCUAACGUGGACCCGUAAUCCGGGUUGCGGACAGUGUCUGGUGGGUAGUUUGACUGGGGCGGUCUCCUCCUAAAGAGUAACGGAGGAGCACGAAGGUUGGCUAAUCCUGGUCGGACAUCAGGAGGUUAGUGCAAUGGCAUAAGCCAGCUUGACUGCGAGCGUGACGGCGCGAGCAGGUGCGAAAGCAGGUCAUAGUGAUCCGGUGGUUCUGAAUGGAAGGGCCAUCGCUCAACGGAUAAAAGGUACUCCGGGGAUAACAGGCUGAUACCGCCCAAGAGUUCAUAUCGACGGCGGUGUUUGGCACCUCGAUGUCGGCUCAUCACAUCCUGGGGCUGAAGUAGGUCCCAAGGGUAUGGCUGUUCGCCAUUUAAAGUGGUACGCGAGCUGGGUUUAGAACGUCGUGAGACAGUUCGGUCCCUAUCUGCCGUGGGCGCUGGAGAACUGAGGGGGGCUGCUCCUAGUACGAGAGGACCGGAGUGGACGCAUCACUGGUGUUCGGGUUGUCAUGCCAAUGGCACUGCCCGGUAGCUAAAUGCGGAAGAGAUAAGUGCUGAAAGCAUCUAAGCACGAAACUUGCCCCGAGAUGAGUUCUCCCUGAGACUUAGAGUCUCCUGAAGGAACGUUGAAGACGACGACGUUGAUAGGCCGGGUGUGUAAGCGCAGCGAUGCGUUGAGCUAACCGGUACUAAUGAACCGUGAGGCUUAACCUU